CCAGCCGCCGCGGUAAUACGGGGGGUGCAAGCGUUAAUCGGAUUUACUGGGCGUAAAGGGUCUGUAGGUGUGUUAAGUCAGAUGUGAAAGCCUAGGGCUCAACUUUGGAACUGCAUUUGAUACUGGUAAACUAGAGUACGGUAGAGGAAUGUGGAAUUUCUGGAGUAGCGGUGAAAUGCGUAGAGAUCAGAAGGAACACCAAUGGCGAAGGCAACAUUCGGGACCGAUACUGACACUGAGGGACGAAAGCGUGGGGAUCAAACAGG
rnacentral:rRNA from 1 species